UACGGAGGAUCCAAGCGUUAUCCGGAAUCAUUGGGUUUAAAGGGUCCGUAGGCGGCCUUAUAAGUCAGUGGUGAAAGUUUUUGGCUUAACCAAAAAAUUGCCAUUGAUACUGUAGGGCUUGAAUGUCUGUGAAGUAACUAGAAUAUGUAGUGUAGCGGUGAAAUGCUUAGAUAUUACAUGGAAUACCGAUUGCGAAGGCAGGUUACUAACAGAUGAUUGACGCUGAUGGACGAAAGCGUGGGUAGCGAACAGG
rnacentral:rRNA from 2 species